rnacentral:lncRNA from 1 species
AUUUCUUUAUGGUUCGUUUUUGCUGAUCAUCUAAAUGCUCUCCAUUUUCUGUUUCACCCUUUAAAUCGAUGUCCCACUGGUUAUCUUCAGUGUCAUCGUCAUCUCUGACUGCUGAACUCCAGUCUUUCAUCUUUAACAAGUACUGUGUCAGUGACUUGACUUGACUCUCUUUAUCUUUCAGUACUUCUUCUAUAUCUGCUUUAGACGAUUCAAACAUCUUCGUUUGUUCAUUUAGUUCACUGAAUCGCUCACCCCAUCCUUCAGCUUCUUGUAAAAGCUGUUUCUCACUCUCCUGAAGCUGCCGGUUUUCCUCUAUUGCAUCUUGAAGAGAUGUCUGCAGUCUCUCUGUAUUAAUCUGAUACACUUUUAGGGUGGACUUGGCCUCAGCAACUUGUGAUUGGAUAGACUUUGCUUCUUUCUCCAAAGAUUCCAGUCUUUCUUGAAU